CGAUUGCGUUGCGUUCUAC
rnacentral:miRNA from 1 species